UACGAAGGGGGCUAGCGUUGUUCGGAUUUACUGGGCGUAAAGCGCACGUAGGCGGAUCGUUAAGUCGGGGGUGAAAUCCUGGAGCUCAACUCCAGAACUGCCUUCGAUACUGUCGGGCUAGAGUACGGAAGAGGCAAGUGGAAUUCCUGGUGUAGCGGUGGAAUGCGCAGAUAUCAGGAGGAACACCUAUAGCGAAGGCAGCUUGCUGGGACGUUACUGACGCUAAGGCGCGAAAGCGUGGGGAGCGAACAGG
rnacentral:rRNA from 1 species